UUGACAACCAUGACAAUAACCCGAUCAUGAUCCAAAUCCAACACACCAAUAUCCAAAGCCCAAACGCGUGAGAUGCAGUUUUUUAUUCUCAUUGUUUUCCUAUUGCGGCAAAUCCUACCUCGUUAAAUAGCCACACUCAUUGCAGCUGCACACCAUGGAAGAAACCCUAAUGCAAACACAGCCGCAUACUGUUUCAUCUACCAAGGUAUAUCCAAUGUUUUCUUUUAGCUUUGUUUAUGUUUUUGAACUUUGAUUUUCUUACUAAUUUUCAUCACAAUAGCAUAUAAUUUAGAUCUGAUAUCAUAUUUCUGAUGCAUGCCAUUUGAUUUAUUGUACCCUUGAUUCAAUGAAUCAAGCUUUCAUUUUAAUUGUUGAUAUUGUUCAUUAAUAUCAUGUUUUUCUAACUAUUUAGCCUUUAUUUUUUUCAGUGAUUUGAUUGCUAUUACACUGGGUCAAUGCAGAUACAGCUAUGCAUUGAGGUUGUAGUAGGUGCCUGUCGAAGUAGCGGUUACUUCCGGUUAAGAUCUAGCAUCUCAUAGUUGUGUGUGUGUUUUGGUUAGAUCAUGGUUGAUUACUUUCUUUAGGUUAUAGAUUAUGCAUGAUUUGUUUAUCUGCAUGAAUUUGACACUAGAAGCUGAUUCAUUUCACAAAAAUAUAUGUUAAGUUUGCAAACGAAAACAUAACAAAGAUUUUGGUUGUUUUAAUGUUUUGUUUGGAUAAGCUUGAUUGGCUUUGAAUGGUUUUGCUUGUUGAACUGACUUUAUGGCAAGGUUGCCUGUUCAUCUUCGCACAAUUGACUUAAGAAUAUUUUUAUCUGAUAAACUAUAGAGUCGUUAUGUUCUAUUGAAAUUUCCUUUCGGGUUAACUCCACUUUCGAGUUAUUUUGUAAAGAAAUUUCAAUGGAAGAUAAUGACUCUACAGUUUAUUACAUAAAAAAAUUGAUGUUAAUUGUGCAAUCAUGAAUGUAUAACCUAACUAUAAAGUGAAGGGGAAAAUCCUUCAAAAUUGAGAGAAGUUUAUCCAAAUAAAACAUUAAUAACAAAAAUCUUUGUUAUUCUUUUGUUUGUCAUUUUCUAGAGUCGAGGAACAAAUUCCAGCUCUUAAGUGUUUUUAUGCGAUAAACUAUAAAGUCGUUAUGUUCUAUUGAAAUUUCCUUUCAGGUUAACUCGACUCACGAGUUAUUUUGUAAGGAAAUUUCAAUGGAAAAUAACGACUCUACAGUUUAUUACAUAAGAAACAAUUAUUGUUAAUUGUGCAAUCAUAAUGUAAAACCCAACUAUAAAGUGAAGGGCAAAAUCCUUCAAAACGGACCAAGUUUAUCCAAAUAAAACUAGUAACAAAAAUCUUUGUUAUUCUUUUGUUUGUCAUUUUCUAGAGUUGAGUAACAGAUUCCAGUUCUUAAGUGUUUUUAUGCGAUAAAUUAUAGAGUCGUUAUGUUCUAUUGAAAUUUCCUUUCAGGUUAACUCGACUCAUGAGUUAUGUUGUAAGAAAAUUUCAAUGGAAAAUAACGACUCUACCGUUUAUUACAUAAGAAACAAUUAAUGUUAAUUGUGCAAUCAGGAAUGUAUAACCUAACUCUAAAAUGAAGGGAAAAAUCCUUCAAAAUCGACCAAGUGUAUCCAAAUAAAACAUUAGUAACAAAAAUCUUUGUUAUUCUUUUGUUUGUCAUUUUCUAGAGUCGAGGAACAUAUUCUAGCUCUUAGUGUUUUUACUCUAUAAACUUUAGAGUCGUUAUGUUCUAUUGAAAUUUCCUUUCAGGGUAACUCGACUCUCGAGUUAUUUUGUAAGGAAAUUUCAAUGGAAGAUAACGACUCUACAGUUUAUUACAUAAGAAACAAUUGAUAUGUUAAUUGUGCAAUCAUGAAUGUAUAACUCAACUAUAAAGUGAAGGGCAAAAUCCUUCAAAAUUGACCAAGUUUAUCCGAUUAAAACAUUAGUAACAAAAAUCUUUGUUAUUCUUUUGUUUGUCAUUUUCUAGAGUUGAGUAACAAAUUCUAGCUCUUAAGUGUUUUUAUGUGAUAAACUAUAGAGUCGUUAUCUUCUAUUGAAAUUUCCUUUCGGGGCAACUCUUUCGAGUUAUUUUGUAAGGAAAUUUCAAUGGAAGAUAACGACUCUACAAUUUAUUUAUUACAUAAAAUCAAUUGAUGUUAAUUGUCCAAUCAUAGCCCAACUAUAAAGUAAAGGGCAAAAUCCUUCAAAGCCGACCAAGUUUAUCCAAAAAUCUCUGUUAUUCCUUUGUUUGUCAUCUUCUAGAGUCGAGUUCAUGUCGAGGAACAAAUUCUAGCUCUUAGGCAAGUGCUAGUUAGCAUGUUAUAACAUCAACUUCAUCGGAUUAUUGCAUGCCUUGAAGCAAGUAUACAACUUCAUCCAAUUGGAACAUUGACAUAAAAUCUUCUAAGCUGUUGUUGAAGAAGCAGAGGUGAAGGAAUUUUGGAACUUCGGGCCUUCUGUUAAUUUCUUCUAUUGUUAUUGAAAAUAGUAUUGUAUUUACCCUUUGUAAUUUUGUUAACUUUUAAUGAUUUUGACAUCAAAUCAAUUCUUGGGCAAUCAAGUAAUGUAUCUUUUUUAUUCUCUAUGUGUUUUGGCUGUGGUAGCUUGUCAGGAAACUUAUAUACAAAGGAACCGUUCUAUU
rnacentral:lncRNA from 1 species